rnacentral:rRNA from 1 species
UACGUAGAGGGCUAGCGUUGUCCGGAAUCAUUGGGCGUAAAGAGCGUGUAGGCGGCUCGAUAAGUCCGCUGUGAAAGUCCAGGGCUCAACCCUGGGAUGCCGGUGGAUACUGUCGGGCUCGAGUCCGGAAGAGGCGAGUGGAAUCCUGGUGUAGCGGUGAAAUGCGCAGAUAUCAGGAGGAACACCAAUGGCGAAGGCAGCUCGCUGGGACGUGACUGACGCUGAGACGCGAAAGCGUGGGGAGCAAACAGG